AGACCCGAAACCCGGUGAUCUAGCCAUGGGCAGGUUGAAGGUUGGGUAACACUAACUGGAGGACCGAACCGACUAAUGUUGAAAAAUUAGCGGAUGACCUGUGGCUGGGGGUGAAAGGCCAAUCAAACCGGGAGAUAGCUGGUUCUCCCCGAAAGCUAUUUAGGUAGCGCCUCGUGAACUCAUCUCCGGGGGUAGAGCACUGUUUCGGCUAGGGGGCCAUCCCGGCUUACCAACCCGAUGCAAACUGCGAAUACCGGAGAAUGUUAUCACGGGAGACACACGGCGGGUGCUAACGUCCGUCGUGAAGAGGGAAACAACCCAGACCGCCAGCUAAGGUCCCAAAGUCAUGGUUAAGUGGGAAACGAUGUGGGAAGGCCCAGACAGCCAGGAUGUUGGCUUAGAAGCAGCCAUCAUUUAAAGAAAGCGUAAUAGCUCACUGGUCGAGUCGGCCUGCGCGGAAGAUGUAACGGGGCUAAACCAUGCACCGAAGCUGCGGCAGCGACACUUUAGUGUUGUUGGGUAGGGGAGCGUUCUGUAAGCCGUUGAAGGUGUCCUGUGAGGGGUGCUGGAGGUAUCAGAAGUGCGAAUGCUGACAUAAGUAACGAUAAAGCGGGUGAAAAGCCCGCUCGCCGGAAGACCAAGGGUUCCUGUCCAACGUUAAUCGGGGCAGGGUGAGUCGACCCCUAAGGCGAGGCCGAAAGGCGUAGUCGAUGGGAAACGGGUUAAUAUUCCCGUACUUGGUGUUACUGCGAAGGGGGGACGGAGAAGGCUAUGUUGGCCGGGCGACGGUAGUCCCGGUUUAAGCGUGUAGGUGUGUGUUCCAGGCAAAUCCGGUUCACUUUAACACUGAGGCGUGAUGACGAGGCACCACGGUGCUGAAGCAACAAAUGCCCUGCUUCCAGGAAAAGCCUCUAAGCAUCAGGUAACAUCAAAUCGUACCCCAAACCGACACAGGUGGUCAGGUAGAGAAUACCAAGGCGCUUGAGAGAACUCGGGUGAAGGAACUAGGCAAAAUGGUGCCGUAACUUCGGGAGAAGGCACGCUGACACGUAGGUGAAGUGAUUUACUCACGGAGCUGAAGUCAGUCGAAGAUACCAGCUGGCUGCAACUGUUUAUUAAAAACACAGCACUGUGCAAACACGAAAGUGGACGUAUACGGUGUGACGCCUGCCCGGUGCCGGAAGGUUAAUUGAUGGGGUCAGCGCAAGCGAAGCUCCUGAUCGAAGCCCCGGUAAACGGCGGCCGUAACUAUAACGGUCCUAAGGUAGCGAAAUUCCUUGUCGGGUAAGUUCCGACCUGCACGAAUGGCGUAAUGAUGGCCAGGCUGUCUCCACCCGAGACUCAGUGAAAUUGAACUCGCUGUGAAGAUGCAGUGUACCCGCGGCAAGACGGAAAGACCCCGUGAACCUUUACUAUAGCUUGACACUGAACAUUGAGCCUUGAUGUGUAGGAUAGGUGGGAGGCUUUGAAGCGUGGACGCCAGUCUGCGUGGAGCCGACCUUGAAAUACCACCCUUUAAUGUUUGAUGUUCUAACGUGGACCCGUAAUCCGGGUUGCGGACAGUGUCUGGUGGGUAGUUUGACUGGGGCGGUCUCCUCCUAAAGAGUAACGGAGGAGCACGAAGGUUGGCUAAUCCUGGUCGGACAUCAGGAGGUUAGUGCAAUGGCAUAAGCCAGCUUGACUGCGAGCGUGACGGCGCGAGCAGGUGCGAAAGCAGGUCAUAGUGAUCCGGUGGUUCUGAAUGGAAGGGCCAUCGCUCAACGGAUAAAAGGUACUCCGGGGAUAACAGGCUGAUACCGCCCAAGAGUUCAUAUCGACGGCGGUGUUUGGCACCUCGAUGUCGGCUCAUCACAUCCUGGGGCUGAAGUAGGUCCCAAGGGUAUGGCUGUUCGCCAUUUAAAGUGGUACGCGAGCUGGGUUUAGAACGUCGUGAGACAGUUCGGUCCCUAUCUGCCGUGGGCGCUGGAGAAUUGAGGGGGGCUGCUCCUAGUACGAGAGGACCGGAGUGGACGCAUCACUGGUGUUCGGGUUGUCAUGCCAAUGGCACUGCCCGGUAGCUAAAUGCGGAAAAGAUAAGUGCUGAAAGCAUCUAAGCACGAAACUUGCCCCGAGAUGAGUUCUCCCUGAGACUUUGAGUCUCCUGAAGGAACGUUAAAGACGAUGACGUUGAUAGGCCGGGUG
rnacentral:rRNA from 1 species